rnacentral:rRNA from 1 species
AAAGUCCCGCAAGGGAUAAGUAGAGUGGCAAACGGGUGAGUAACGCGUGGGUGACCUGCCUUCGAGCGGGGGAUAACGUUCCGAAAGGGACGCUAAUACCGCAUAACAUCCUGCUUUUUAACAAGUGGAGAUCAAAGCUGGGGCUCGCAAGACCUAGCACUCGAAGAGGGGCCCGCGUCUGAUUAGCUAGUUGGUGAGGUAACGGCUCACCAAGGCGACGAUCAGUAUCCGGCCUGAGAGGGCGGACGGACACACUGGGACUGAGACACGGCCCAGACUCCUACGGGAGGCAGCAGUGGGGAAUUGUUCGCAAUGGGCGCAAGCCUGACGACGCAACGCCGCGUGGAGGAUGAAGAUCUUCGGGUCGUAAACUCCUUUCGAUCGAGACGAACGGCCUCCGGGUGAACAAUCCGGAGGAGUGACGGUACCGAGAGAAGAAGCCCCGGCUAACUCCGUGCCAGCAGCCGCGGUAAUACGGGGGGGGCAAGCGUUGUUCGGAAUUACUGGGCGUAAAGGGCUCGUAGGCGGCCAACUAAGUCAGACGUGAAAUCCCUCGGCUUAACCGGGGAACUGCGUCUGAUACUGGAUGGCUUGAGUGUAGGAGAGGGAUGCGGAAUUCCAGGUGUAGCGGUGAAAUGCGUAGAUAUCUGGAGGAACACCGGUGGCGAAGGCGGCAUCCUGGACUACUACUGACGCUGAGUGAGCGAAAGCCAGGGGAGCAAACGGGAUUAGAUACCCCGGUAGUCCUGGCCCUAAACGAUGAAUGCUUGGUGUGACGGGUAUCGAUCCCUGUCGUGCCGAAGCUAACGCAUUAAGCA